rnacentral:misc_RNA from 1 species
AACGCACGAGACCUGCGGACCUGCGGAGGGAUCAUUACCGAGUUUACAACUCCCAAACCCCAUGUGAACAUACCUGUUUCGUUCCCUCGGCGGUGUCCGGCAACGGCCCGCCAGAGGACCCAACAAACUCUUUUGAAUUUUUCAGUAUCUUCUGAGUGAAAAAAACAAUAAAUCAAAACUUUCAGCAACGGAUCUCU